GACGAACGCUGGCGGCGUGCCUAAUACAUGCAAGUCGAGCGAAGUUUUUCUGGUGCUUGCACUAGAAACACUUAGCGGCGAACGGGUGAGUAACACGUAAAGAACCUGCCUCAUAGACUGGGACAACUAUUGGAAACGAUAGCUAAUACCGGAUAACAGUAUUUCUCGCAUGAGAGAUAUUUAAAAGUUGGUUAUGCUAACACUAUGAGAUGGCUUUGCGGUGCAUUAGCUAGUUGGUGGGGUAAAGGCCCACCAAGGCGACGAUGCAUAGCCGACCUGAGAGGGUGAUCGGCCACACUGUGACUGAGACACGGCCCAGACUCCUACGGGAGGCAGCAGUAGGGAAUCUUCCGCAAUGGGCGAAAGCCUGACGGAGCAACGCCGCGUGAGUGAAGAAGGAUUUCGGUUCGUAAAGCUCUGUUGUUAGGGAAGAAUGGAUAUGUAGUAACUAUACAUGUAAGAGACGGUACCUAACCAGAAAGCCACGGCUAACUACGUG
rnacentral:rRNA from 1 species